rnacentral:rRNA from 1 species
AGUGAACGCUGGCGGCGUGCUUAACACAUGCAAGUCGAACGAGAACGGAUUAUAGCUUGCUAUAAUUGUCAGCUAAGUGGCGCACGGGUGAGUAAUGUAUAGGUAAUAUGCCUCUUACUAAGGGAUAACAAAUGGAAACGUUUGCUAAUACCUUAUACUCCUUAUUAACAGAAGUUAAUAAGGGAAAGAUUUAUUGGUAAGAGAUUAGCCUGUAUUGUAUCAGUUAGUUGGUGGGGUAAUGGCCUACCAAGACUAUGACACAUAACUGGUUUGAGAGGAGGAUCAGUCACACUGGAACUGAGACACGGUCCAGACUCCUACGGGAGGCAGCAGUGGGGAAUAUUGCACAAUGGACGAAAGUCUGAUGCAGCAACGCCGCGUGGAGGAUGACACAUUUCGGUGCGUAAACUCCUUUUAUAUGAGAAGAUAAUGACGGUAUUAUAUGAAUAAGCACCGGCUAACUCCGUGCCAGCCGCCGCAGUAACAC